rnacentral:rRNA from 1 species
AUGCAAGUCGAGGGGUAACAGGAAGCUUGNUCUGCUGACGACCGGNGCACGGGUGAGUAACGCGUAUGCAACCUACCCAUAUUUGGGGGAUAACCCGGAGAAAUCCGGACUAAUACCGCAUAAUAUCAAGAAUCGGCAUCGAUUUUUGCUUAAAUAUUUAUAGAAUAUGGAUGGGCAUGCGUCUGAUUAGUUUGUUGGUGAGGUAACGGCUCACCAAGACUACGAUCAGUAGGGGUUCUGAGAGGAAGGUCCCCCACACUGGUACUGAGACACGGACCAGACUCCUACGGGAGGCAGCAGUGAGGAAUAUUGGUCAAUGGGCGAGAGCCUGAACCAGCCAAGUCGCGUGAAGGAAGACUGCCCUAUGGGUUGUAAACUUCUUUUGUAGGGGAAUAAAAAAGAGUACGUGUGCUCUAUUGCAGGUACCCUACGAAUAAGGAUCGGCUAACUCCGUGCCAGCAGCCGCGGUAAUACGGAGGAUCCAAGCGUUAUCCGGAUUUAUUGGGUUUAAAGGGUGCGUAGGCGGUCUAAUAAGUCAGUGGUGAAAGUUUUCGGCUCAACCGGAAAAUUGCCAUUGAAACUGUUAGACUUGAGUACAAAUGAGGUAGGCGGAAUGUAUUGUGUAGCGGUGAAAUGCUUAGAUAUAAUACAGAACACCAAUUGCGAAGGCAGCUUACUGGAAUGUCACUGACGCUGAGGCACGAAAGCGUGGGGAUCAAACAGGAUUAGAUACCCUGGUAGUCCACGCCGUAAACGAUG